GGGCGCGCGCCUCAGGCAUGGUGGGCGGAGCCCGGGGAGGAGGCGGGUGGGGAACGGCCCGGGACUCGCACGUGGAGGUAUAGGGCGGACGCCUCCCUCAGCCAGGGCAAGACUGAGGAGCAGUUCCUGGGAGAAGCACAUUGUGGCUGCAGCAAGAUAUCGUGAAAUACCAGAUCAUAAAGGACAGAGGAAUCCUGAAGAGGAUAAAAUCAUGGAGAGAUGGGGCCAGUUAACAUUACCAAAGGAGCUGGGCUUGGAGGUAAGUCCUGGAGGUGGAGAAGAGACAAGCAAGCAAUCUAGGAGUAGGGAGGGAUGGCAAAGAUGCAGAAACUUGGUAGCAGGUGGAGAACAGGGUAAGAAUGAGAGGCCACCACUGCAGGCUCAUAUUUCUUGAAUGAAAGGGUAGACCAGAUGAUCUUUCAAAUCUAAAAUUCUGUCAACCCUCAUCUGGGCCUCUCCACUACGAUGUUCCACCUUCAUCUCCAGUUCUACAUUUUUAAAACUAGAUUCAUUACUUUCUCUCUUCCCCACCUGAAUCAAUUUCCUCCUGGCUUCCCUCACCUGCUGAUAGAGUUAUUUUCCCACCUAUGUUUAACACCUGUAAUCUUUACCAAUCUUGUCCAGGCCCAAGUCUUGGGACAGCACUGGUAAACGGAUUCUUUGCUCAAAACUCCAGGAGCUCCCCUAUCUGUCACUGGAAUACCUAAGCCAUAUUCUGACCUCAGAGCCUUUGCACUGGCAGUUCUUUCUACCCAGAAGGCUCUUCUGCUAGAUAUUCAUCCUAAUGUCCUUUAAGACUUUACUGAAUGUCACCAUCUCAAUGAGAUCUUCCUUGACCACCUGUUUUAAGUUGCAACUACCUCCGUCUUCCCCUGCUGCAUGACUAAUCUCCCAUACCGAUAUAUUUUUUCCCUGAGCACUUUUUUUUAACACGCUAUUUGUUUUUCUUUUCUCUUAAAAAUUGUGUAUCUCCCUUCAUUAGAAUAGAAGUCAGACAAGGGCAGGGCUUUUUGUCCAAUUUGUUCACUUUCCUAACCCUAAAAAUGAACAACAAUGGCUGGGCACAUAGAAAUUUCUCAAUGAAUGAAUGAAUUCGUGUUUUAUAAACGAAGUACAGCACAACAAAUAAAGACAUAGAAAAGUGCUGGGAAACA
rnacentral:lncRNA from 13 species